rnacentral:rRNA from 1 species
UACAGAGGUGCCAAGCGUUGUUCGGAUUUAUUGGGCGUAAAGGGUGCGUAGGCGGUGAUGCAAGUCGGGUGUGAAAUACCGGAGCCUAACUCCGGAACGGCAUUCGAAACUGCAUCGCUCGAGAUCUGGAGAGGUGAGUGGAAUUCUAGGUGUAGCAGUGAAAUGCGUAGAUAUCUAGAGGAACACCAGAGGCGAAGGCGACUCACUGGACAGAAUCUGACGCUGAGGCACGAAAGCUAGGGGAGCAAACAGG